CUCAGGUAUUUACCCAGCAUGCCUUGGGCGGCGUAUGCACCUGCCUUCACACCUCCUGGAAUGCAAACGGACAAAACUGAAUGUUAAAAAGAUGGAAACAGAAAGUAGAUCCAAGUAGAGAUCAUGACGUGACUCCAAAGAUAUUGUUUCACUCGCCGAUCGAUUCCUCUUCGCGGAUAAACGUCGUCUUGGACUCUCGCUAAUCCCGCCUUUGUUAUAACGUCUUUUCUUCAGGUCGGAGAUUUCGCAGACGCCAACAGCUGGCCGACACCCGGGGAGAUGGCAACUAAAGACCUGCAGGUCGAGGCGGUGACACGCACUGAGUCCUGCCCGCCGCCUGUCAGGCCGGUCAGAGACUCGUGGAGAUUCACUGCUCCGAAGAAGACUACGGCGACAUCGUCGACUGUGAAGAAGGAGGCGAAGGAGAAGAGGGAGAGCAACGAGGAGAGCAAGGAGAACCUGAAGGCGAAGUCGGACGACUCCGGAGAGGAAAAAAACGGAGAGAACGACUCCCAGAAGAACGGACCCAAGAAAAAAGGUGACCCCCCACGGAUGAUUAGUGGUAGCACAUGCUAA
ensembl:lncRNA